UACGUAGGGGGCAAGCGUUGUCCGGAUUUAUUGGGCGUAAAGCGCACGUAGGCGGUUCGUUAAGUCGGAUGUGAAAGCCCUCGGCUCAACUGAGGAAGUGCACCCGAAACUGGCGAGCUUGAGUACGAAAGAGGAUCGCGGAAUUCCCGGUGUAGAGGUGAAAUUCGUAGAUAUCGGGAGGAACACCGGUGGCGAAGGCGGCGAUCUGGGUCGAUACUGACGCUGAGGUGCGAAAGCGUGGGGAGCAAACAGGG
rnacentral:rRNA from 1 species